GACGAACGCUGGCGGCGUGCUUAACACAUGCAAGUCGAACGGAAAGGCCCUGCUUUUGUGGGGUGCUCGAGUGGCGAACGGGUGAGUAACACGUGAGUAACCUGCCCUUGACUUUGGGAUAACUUCAGGAAACUGGGGCUAAUACCGGAUAGGAGCUCCUGCUGCAUGUUGGGGGUUGGAAAGUUUCGGCGGUUGGGGAUGGACUCGCGGCUUAUCAGCUGGUUGGUGGGGUAGUGGCUUACCAAGGCUUUGACGGGUAGCCGGCCUGAGAGGGUGACCGGCCACAUUGGGACUGAGAUACGGCCCAGACUCCUACGGGAGGCAGCAGUGGGGAAUAUUGCACAAUGGGCGGAAGCCUGAUGCAGCAACGCCGCGUGCGGGAUGACGGCCUUCGGGUUGUAAACCGAUUUCGCAUGUGACGAAGCGUGAGUGACGGUAAUGGGUAAAGAAGCACCGGCUAACUACGUG
rnacentral:rRNA from 1 species